rnacentral:sRNA from 1 species
GCCAGGUGCGGUGGCACAUGCCUGUAAUCCCAGCAGCUCAGGAGGCUGAGGCAGGAGGAUCGCGAGUUCAAAGCCAGCCUCAGCAAAAGCAAGGCUCUAAGCAACUCAGUGAGACCCUGUCCCUA